rnacentral:rRNA from 1 species
AUUGAACGCUGGCGGCAUGCUUUACACAUGCCAGUCGAACGGCAGCGCGGGCUUCGGCCUGGCGGCGAGUGGCGAACGGGUGAGUAAUGCAUCGGAACGUGCCCAGUAGUGGGGGAUAGCCCGGCGAAAGCCGGAUUAAUACCGCAUACGACCUGAGGGUGAAAGCGGGGGACCGAAAGGCCUCGCGCUAUUGGAGCGGCCGAUGUCGGAUUAGCUAGUUGGUGGGGUAAAGGCUUACCAAGGCGACGAUCCGUAGCUGGUCUGAGAAGACGACCAGCCACACUGGGACUGAGACACGGCCCAGACUCCUACGGGAGGCAGCAGUGGGGAAUUUUGGACAAUGGGGGCAACCCUGAUCCAGCCAUGCCGCGUGCGGGAAGAAGGCCUUCGGGUUGUAAACCGCUUUUGUUCGGGAAGAAAUCCUCUGGGCUAAUACCCCGGGGGGAUGACGGUACCGGAAGAAUAAGCACCGGCUAACUACGUG